rnacentral:rRNA from 1 species
GUCAAAUGAACAAAGGCUUACGGUGGAGACCUAGGCACCCAGAGACGAUGAAGGGCGCAGAUACCGGCGAAACGCUUCGGGGAGCUGGCAACAAGCUUUGAUCCGAAGAUCCCCGAAUAGGGCAACCUGUAAAACUACCAACAGAAUUCAUAAGUUGGAAAGAGACAACCCAGUGAAUUGAAACAUCUUAGUAGCUGGUGGAAAAGAAAGCAAACGCGAUUCCCGUAGUAGUGGCGAGCGAAACGGGAACAGCCUAAACUGGCUCCUUUUUCUCCCCUUUUGGGGAGGGGGGGGAGGCAGUGUAGUGGGAAGACAAAUGUCCAGGUGCUCUUGCCCCCGCAUGGCCGCGUAACCCUUACCCUGGCACUAUGGGUGCCAGGGUAAGGGUUACGCGGCCAUGCGGGGGCAAGAGCACCGUCCCCUAUCCUCCGGGUAUCCCUUUUCCUGGUGCCCAGUUUACCCCUUUUCCGUGGAGGGGGGUCCUGUGGGACCCCCCUCCACGGAAAAGGGGUAAACUGGGCACCAGGAAAAGGGAGAUUUCACAGGCCUCUGCCCCUUUCCCCUUCCCGUGGGGGGGGGUUUACCCCCCCCCCCCACGGGAAGGGGAAAGGGGCAGAGGCCUGUGAAAUCGGGGGGGUCCUUUUUAUCCCCCCCAGAUUCUCCCCGUAAAGGGGAGAUCUGGGGGGGAUGUCCCUGCCCCCCCAGAUUUCCCCUUAAAGGGGAAAUCUGGGGGGGCAGGGACAGAAGAUAUAAGGCGAAGCAGCUGAAUCCUGCACCAUAGAUGGUGAAAGUCCAGUAGUUCUAUUUUAAAGAAAGGAUAGCUGAGGGCAAAAGCCCUCAGCUUUAGUCUUAUCCCGAGUAGCAUGGGGCACGUGGAAUCCCGUGUGAAUCAGCGAGGACCACCUCGUAAGGCUAAAUACUCCUGGGUGACCGAUAGUGAAAUAGUAUCGCGAGAAAAAGCUGAAAAGAACCCCCGUAGGGGAGUGAAAUAGAACAUGAAACCGUAUGCUGACAAGCAGUGGGAGGAAAAAAAAAAAGAUAAGACCGCGUGCCUGUUGAAGAAUGAGCCGGCGACUUAGAGGAAGUGGCAUAUAGGUUAAGGAGUAAUAUCCGGAGCCAACGCGAAAGCGAGUCUGAAUAGGGCGUUAACUGUCAUUUCUUCUGGACCCGAACCCGGGUGAUCUAACCAUGACCAGCAUGAAGCUUGGGUAACACUAAGUCGAGGUGCGAACCGACCGAUGUUGAAAAAUCGGCGGAUGAGUUGUGGUUAUGCGGAGAAAUUCCAAUCGAACUCGGAGCUAGCUGGAUCUCCCCGAAAUGCGUUGAGGCGCAGCGGCAACGACGAGCUAUCAUGGGGUAAAGAUACUGUUUCGAUGCGGGCUGCGAAAGCGGUACCAAGUCGUGGCAAACUCAGAAUACAUGGUAUGCCUACCGUUAGCCAGUGAGACUACGUAAGAUAAGUUUCGUAGUCAAGAGGGAAACAGCCCAGAUCACCAGCUAAGGCCCCUAAAUGGUCACUAAGUGGAAAAGGAUGUGAGAAUGCUGAAACAACCAGGAGGUUAGCUCAGAAGCAGCGAUCCCUUUAAAGAGUGCGUAAUAGCUCACUGGUAAAGCGUUUUUGCGCCGAUAAUGGCCGGGACUAAGUGACCUGCCGAAGCUGUGAGAUUUCUUAUUAUGCUUCAGUUUUUACCUGGCAUGACCUUCGGAUUCCCAUGGCUUAUUCCCCUUCGAUGGCCUCUUUACCCCCCAGCUAAAGCUGGGGGGUAAAGAGGCCAUCGAAGGGGAAUAAGCCAUGGGAAUCCUAUAAGAAGUGAAAAGAAGAAAUCGGUAGGGGAGCGUUCUAUUUUGGGUGAAGUUUUCAUGUAAAUGACAAUGGACAGGAUAGAAGUGAGAAU